ACGCUCGACACCUACGGGAGGCAGCAGUGGGGAAUAUUGCGCAAUGGGGGGACCNCNGCNGNACGACCGCGNGAGAUAGUUGAUCUAACUUNAGNAUNAGGAGAAGAAAUGACGGUACCUGAACAAAAGCCACGGCUACUACGUGUCACGCAGCCGCGGUAAUCUGAGCGGGCUGGCAAGGC
rnacentral:rRNA from 1 species